CCUACGGGAGGCAGCAGUGGGGGAUAUUGGACAAUGGGGGGAACCCUGAUCCAGCGACGCCGCGUGAGUGAAGAAGUAUUUCGGUAUGUAAAGCUCUGUCAGCAGGGAAGAAAGAAAUGACGGUACCUGACCAAGAAGCCUCGGCUAACUACGUGCCAGCAGCCGCGGUAAUACGGAGGGGGCAAGCGUUAUCCGGAAUUACUGGGUGUAAAGGGAGCGUAGACGGUUAAGUAAGUCUGGAGUGAAAGGCCGGGGCCCAACCCCGGGACUGCUCUGGAAACUAUUGAACUUGAGUGCAGGAGAGGUAGGCGGAAUGCAUAGUGUAGCGGUGAAAUGCGUAGAUAUUAGGAGGAACACCAGUGGCGAAGGCGGCUUACUGGACUGUAACUGACGUUGAGGCACGAAAGCGUGGGGAGCAAACAGGAUUAGAUACCCCAGUAGUC
rnacentral:rRNA from 1 species